CUCUAGAGUACAUUCAAACUGUAUGGGUAUUUUUGAGGAAGAGAAGACGAAUAUUUUGUGUCCUUGAAACUUAUGAGUCACUAACAGAAUUGCCUAGAAAGCCAGGAGCUGACUCUCCAAAGCUGAGAGGGUACAGGAGUCAGUGUUCUCAAGGGGGAGUCAUGAGGCUUCCAUAAUGAGAGAGUCCCCAGCUGUCUAUCUCAUAGUUAGGCAGACAGGGGCAAAAUUUUCUAAAGUUCACUUUGAGGUUGGCUGAUGGUGUUUUCCCAGAAUUAAACACUUGUCCCCAAGCACACAUUUGUCACCAAAGUCCUGGGGUAAGGAAGCAGGGCUCCAGGUCUCAAAAUAACCUUCUGGUUUCAGUCUCCGUGGCUGGGGCUGAUUCAUAUUUUGUAGGAGGUUUGAUUGUAGCUGGGAAUGGCCGAGGAGGAGCUGGUGUAAUUCUCUCCUCCUUCCUCAUCCCACUGAGAGGGAGUGAGGAGGGGCAUGAAGAGUGGAGACAGGGUGUGGGAGUUAAACCUGUUCUUCACAUAGCAAUCGUCUCAUCUCACUCUUUGCUCUCACUCUGAGAAGUUCAGUCCGAGGCUGGGAAAACUUGGAGCCAGUCUCUGAGUCUGCUUGGCUCAUAUCCAGCCUCCCUCUUUUUGUGUUCCUUUUCCCCUUGGGAACAUCUUUCCCUCCUCCCCCACUUUCAGGUACAAGAGAGCCGUGAUGUACUGGAGCAAAGGCUGUGAGGUGGGAGGGGCUUGGAAUUCUUUAGGUUAGAGCCUUCCUCUUCUUGGUUAUCUCCAGGAGAACAUGCCAGGCUCCACUGCCUCAUUGCUUUUUAGGGCAUGAAGGGCUUAGAAAGCAACUGGAGGGCAAAGUAGUUUGGGGUAAACUAGGGAGGAGGAGGCCUAUUAAGUGGAAGAAUCAUGUAAAUAAGAGGUGUUUCUCAGAAUCAUGGGAAAAAAAUUACUGGGUCUUUCUUAUGUUUUUUCUGAGCCCCUGGGUGUCUCGGUUUUGUGUUGGUGGAGGGAUGUGUUUCUUGCUCUUCUCCUGGUGGAGGUUUCUAGAGCAGAGGCCUUCAGAUAUGGCAGCUUGAGCAGAAGACCACACGUGUGUCUUUUGUCAUCUCCAAAAAGAAAGUUUGCCAACCUCCUGGUCUAGACAAGAUUUUGCUGUAACUGUGUGACUACCGACAAAUCUGGCUGUAGGAUUGGACCUUAUCCGGUAAGUAAUGGCAUUCAUCAAGUGGAUAAGAUGGCUAGAUCUGUCGGUAGUAGGAGAAUGAAUUGGAAUGGAAAUUAUACAUAGAAAAAUGUUUAGGAGGCAAUUUAAAUUUCUCAUCUAGAAAGAGAUGUAGAUUUGGGAAUCAUUAGCACAUAUUCAGGGCUUGAAAAUGGAAUGGAUAAAAGCACCCAAGGAGAAAACCAGUGGAAACUUUACGGCCACUUUAAGGGAAGGAGAAUAGAACAAGAGAAGAGUGAAAAAGACUGAGAAAAAGUGAUCCAGGAAGUAGGAGAACAAGAGACGAACAGCAACACAGAUAGAGUAGGUUGUCAACAACAUUGAAUACUAAAGAGAGGGAAAGUGGAAUGAAGAAUGAAAAGAAGCCUCGGCUAUGUCACUGGUGACCUUGUGACAACAGUUUCAGGACAGUGGUAGAGGUUGGGAGUAGGGACCUCUACUCAUCAGGGUAGUGCAUUUGAGGAUAUUGGUAGUCAAGGGAAGAAUGGAGACCAGUUCAUAGGCUGAGUGGAAGCAGAGUCAACCGAGGCAGAAAGUGUCCAUUUUGCUUACCAUGCAGGGUACCUGAGUCUCCAAUUAAAUAAUGAAUGUUAAAGUGUUUUGCAAACUAUAAAGCACUAUGCUAAUAAAAGGCAUGGUGUUGUUAUAAAGUAAUUCUAA
rnacentral:lncRNA from 13 species